GAGCUCCUGCCUGCCUGGAUGAAGAGGAGGUCAAGACUUUGUCCCCCACUCCCCAAGAUACCCUCUCUGUUCCGGAUCGGUGGGUCCCUCCCCUGUUAGGACCUUGUCUCCCUCAGGACUGGACCUGGAUCCUGGGCCUGCAGUCAGAUUGCCAGUUUCACUUAGAGGUGGAAAUGUCAACCCACUGGUUGGAAUGGGAAGCUGCUGUGUUGUGAGCCACCUUAUGGAAAACCCAUGUGGCAGAGAACCGAGGGUGGUGGCUGGCCAACAGCAAGCCAGGAGCUGAGGCCCACAGUCCAACAACUGAUGAGGAACCACAUGCUGCCAGUAGCCAUGUGAGGGAACUUAGAAGCAAAUCCUUCCCCAGUUGAGCCUUCAGAUGACACCAGAGCCUUGGCUGACCCCUUACUUUUGCCCUUGUAAGAGACUUUGAGCCAGAAGACUUGGCUAAACCACACCUGGAUUCCUGACCCACAGAAACUUGAAAUAAUAAAUGUGUUGUUUUAAGUCA